rnacentral:rRNA from 1 species
CCUACGGGUGGCAGCAGUGAGGAAUAUUGGUCAAUGGGCGCGAGCCUGAACCAGCCAAGUCGCGUGAGGGAGGACGGCCCUACGGGUUGUAAACCUCUUUUGCCGGGGAGCAACGGGCGCCACGUGUGGCGUCACUGAGAGCACCCGGAGAAAAAGCACCGGCAAACUCCGGGCCAGCAGCCGCGGUAAUACGGAGGAUGCGAGCGUUAUCCGGAUUUAUUGGGUUAAAAGGGUGCGUAGGCGGAUCGUUAAGUCAGUGGGCAAUUUGAGGGGGUCAACCCCGUCCCGCCGUUGAAACUGGCGUUCUUGAGUGCAAGAGAAGUAUGCGGAAUGCGUGGUGUAGCGGUGAAAUGCAUAGAUAUCACGCAGAACCCCGAUUGCGAAGGCAGCAUGCCGGCUUCCGACUGACGCUGAAGCACGAAAGCGUGGGGAUCGAACAGGAUUAGAUACCCGUGUAGUC